rnacentral:rRNA from 1 species
UAGUCAUAUGCUUGUCUCAAAGAUUAAGCCAUGCAUGUCUAAGCACAAGCCGAUUAAUGGUGAAGCCGUGAAUGGCUCAUUACAACAGCCAUAGUUUCUUAGAUCUUACUUUUCUACUUGGAUAACUGUGGUAAUUCUAGAGCUAAUACACGCAAACAAGCUCAGACCUUACGGAAUGAGCGCAUUUAUUAGAACAAAAACCAAUCGGGCUUCGGUCCGUCAUUUGGUGAAUCUGAAUAACUUUGCUGAUCGCACGGUCUUCGUACCGGCGACAUAUCUUUCAAAUGUCUGCCUUAUCAACUUUCGAUGGUAGUUUAUGCGCCUACCAUGGUUGUAACGGGUAACGGAGAAUAAGGGUACGACUCCGGAGAGGGAGCCUGAGAAACGGCUACCACAUCCAAGGAAGGCAGCAGGCACGCAAAUUACCCACUCCCGGCACGGGGAGGUAGUGACGAAAAAUAACGAGACGGCUCGCUAUGCGGUCCGUCAUCGGAAUGGGUACAAUUUAAAUCCUUUAACGAGGAUCUAUU